GCUUCGCUGGGCGCAGCUUGAUACGACCGCAGAGGUCGAACCCUGAACAGUUGGGGCAAGUAUGGACACAACAUUCAAGCUUGAUACAGCUCUGAAUUUGGAUUGUGAUUAAAUAUUUGACACAGCAUAGGUUUCUGACACAGAAAGAAUGUGGUCUAAGAACUUCAUUUUUUUUAAUUUACCUAUUAUGGUCCAAUGUCCAAAAUCAAAAUACAUGGUUAGAUUCAGCAUAUCAAAGAACCCCAUAUAUUCAAUUUUUGUUGAAAUCAAACAAAGUUUAAUUUUGGACCCCAACUUGGACAAACUUGAAAACUGGUCCCAUAAUCAAAAAUCUAAACACAUGUUUAGAUUCAGCAUAUCAAAGUACCCCAAGAAUUCAAUUUUUUUUUUAAAUCAAACUAAGUUUAAUUUUGGACCCUUUAGACCUUAAUGUAGACCAAUUAAAAAAAACGGGACCCAAAAUUAAAAUCUAAAAACACGGUUAGAUUUGGCAUAUCAAAGAACCCCAAUAAUUCAAUUUUUGUUGAAAUCAAACAAAGUUUAAUUUUGGACCCCAAUUUGGACCCCAAUUUGGACCAACUUGAAAACUGGGCCAAAAAUCUAAAAUCUAAAUACAUGUUUAGAUUCAGCAUAUCAAAGAACCCCAUAUAUUCAAUUUUUGUUGAAAUCAAACAAAGUUUAAUUUUGGACCCCAACUUGGACCAACUUGAAAACUGGUCCCAUAAUCAAAAAUCUAAACACAUGUUUAGAUUCAGCAUAUCAAAGAACCCCAAAAAUUCAAUUUUUGUUAAAAUCAAACUAAGUUUAAUUUUGGACCCUUUGGACCUUAAUGUAGACCAAUUCAAAAAACAGGACCCAAAAUUAAAAAUCUAAAUACACAGUUAGAUUUGGCAUAUCAAAGAACCCCAAUAAUUCAAUUUUUGAUGAAAUCAAACAAAGUUUAAUUUUGGACCCUUUUGACCUCAAUAUGAACCAAUUUGAUAGCGGGCCCACAAAUAAAAAAUCUAAAUACAUGGUAAGAUUCAGCAUAUCAAAGAACCCCAUAUAUUCAAUUUUUGUUGAAAUCAAACAAAGUUUAAUUUUGGACCCCAAUUUGGACCAACUUGAAAACUGGGCCAAAAAUCUAAAAUCUAAAUACAUGUUUAGAUUCAGCAUAUCAAAGAACCCCAUAUAUUCAAUUUUUGUUGAAAUCAAACAAAGUUUAAUUUUGGACCCCAACUUGGACCAACUUGAAAACUGGGCCCAUAAUUAAAAAUCUAAACACAUGUUUAGAUUCAGCAUAUCAAAGAACCCCAAGAAUUCAAUUUUUGUUAAAAUCAAACUAAGUUUAAUCUUGGACCCUUUGGACCUUAAUGUAGACCAAUUUAAAAAACGGGACUCAAAAUUAAAAAUCUAAAUACACAGUUAGAUUUGGCAUAUCAAAGAACCCCAAUAAUUCAAUUUUUGUUGAAAUCAAACAAAGUUUAAUUUUGGACCCCAACUUUGACCAACUUGAAAACUGGGCCCAUAAUUAAAAAUCUAAACACAUGUUUAGAUUCAGCAUAUCAAAGAACCCCAAGAAUUCAAUUUUUGUUAAAAUCAAACUAAGUUUAAUCUUGGACCCUUUGGACCUUAAUGUAGACCAAUUUAAAAAACAGGACCCAAAAUUAAAAAUCUAAAUACACAGUUAGAUUUGGCAUAUCAAAGAACCCCAAUAAUUCAAUUUUUGAUGAAAUCAAACAAAGUUUAAUUUUGGACCCUUUUGACCUCAAUAUAAACCAAUUUGAUAGCGGGGUCCACAAAUAAUAAAUCUAAAUACAUGGUUAGAUGCAGCAUAUCAAAGAACCCCAUAUAUUCAAUUUUUGUUGAAAUCAAACAAAGUUUAAUUUUGGACCCCAAUUUGGACCAACUUGAAAACUGGGAAAAAAAUCAAAAAUCUAAAUACAUGUUUAGAUUCAGCAUAUCAAAGAACCCCAUAUAUUCAAUUUCUGUUAAAAUCAAACAAAGUUUAAUUUUGGACCCUUUGGACCUUAAUGUAGACCAAUUUGAAAACUGGACCCAAAAUUAAAAAUCUAAAUACACGGUUAGAUUCGGCAUAACAAAUAAAUAAAUGUGGUCAAAGAUUUUACAAAUCUAAUGCGCCAUACUGGUCUUCCUUUAUAAAUAUGCAUUUCUUUAAACAUAAUUUAAAAGCAGUGUAAGGGAAGUAACCAAAACGUUGUAUUUGGAUUACCUCCCUUACACUGUUUUAAAUUAUCUUAAUUGUUUAUUAACCAUUACUUUAUACAUAAUUUAAAAGCAGUGUAAGGGAGAUAAUUUCAAUGAUGUAUUUGAUUUAUCUCCCUUACACUGCUUUAAAUUAUGUUUUGUACUAAAGUAUUUGUCCAUUAAUGAGGACAACCUUUUUUUUCCCCCUUUUUUCCCCUAAUUCUUAAACAGUUUGAGCAAUAACCCCCCAAAGCAAAUCCUAACCAUCCCUUUGUGGUAUGGAAACUUGUAGUAUAAUUUCAGAGAGAUCCAUACACCGUUCCACAGUUAUUGUCUGGAAUCUAGAAAAUGCUUAUUUUUGGCCCCUUUUUGGCCCCUAAUUCCUUAACUGUUGGUACCAUAACCCCCAAAAUCAAU